AAGACACAACACUACCACAGAUGCAGCAUCCUUAUUAUUAUCUGCAAAUCCAGCUACAAAAUUAACCAGACGCAAGAAGAAAGAAGGUUGUAUCAAUAUUCUUGUCCAAAAUGAAGCUUCUUGCAAUUGCACUUGCACUGUUGGUGCUAGCUAGCUCUUGUAUGGCAAUCAAUAAAAAAAAAUUAGUGUACCAAAUGUCUGAAAACCAGAAACAAGAGCAAGGCAUGGAAAGAGAUCAUGAACUUAUUGACCUCAAGAAUCACCAUCGAAUCCCAACUCCUCCUUCUCGGAAGGACUUUGGGAAACCCGGUGGAUCUAGCCAUUUUGGUGUCAAUGACGAUAAUGAUCAUCAUUACAUACCUCGCAAGGAUUACGGUACGCAUCCUGGCAAUGGAUGAAUUGGUCUACGACUACGAGAAGAAGAUAUAUAUGCAAUAAGUUGUAAGUUACUUUUGUUCUGCACAAGCUAAUGAGGUCGGUGUAGUACCACGAACAUGUAUAUUUUCACUAUUAAAUCAAUAAGUUCCAGGGUUGGAUCAA